GCUCGGCCUCGCACUGGGGGGCACGCAGCUCGGCCCCCGGUCUGUACCCACGCGCUGGGGCGGGCUGGGAUCCGUUUCCGGGAGUGGGAGCCGCCGCCUUCGUCAGGGGCACUAUGGCAGUCAAAGUUAGGAGGCAGAGGCCGAGGAGGCGAGUCUGUUGGGCCUUGGUGGCUGUGCUCUUGGCAGACCUGUUGGCACUGAGUGAUACACUGGCAGUGAUGUCUGUGGACCUGGGCAGUGAGUCCAUGAAGGUGGCCAUCGUCAAACCUGGAGUGCCCAUGGAAAUUGUCUUGAAUAAGGAAUCUCGGAGGAAAACCCCGGUGAUUGUGACCCUGAAAGAAAAUGAAAGAUUCUUUGGAGACAGUGCAGCAAGCAUGGCGAUUAAGAAUCCAAAGGCUACGCUACGUUACUUCCAGCACCUCCUGGGGAAGCAGGCAGAUAACCCCCAUGUAGCUCUUUACCAGGCCCGCUUCCCGGAGCACGAGCUGACUUUCGACCCACAGAGGCAGACUGUGCACUUUCAGAUCAGCUCGUGAGUGUUCUGUUGGGGAAGGUGGUCUCGGCAACGCUGCUGGGCUCCUUAUUGGUGUGUGUUCCUGAUUGUCCUGCCUUAAUGCCUGGCUUUCCUUGGCUCUAACUACCUUCCCUCCCCUCAGGCAGUUGCAGUUCUCACCUGAGGAAGUGUUGGGCAUGG
rnacentral:sRNA from 1 species